UGUUACUUGAAUAUUAAAGAUAUGAUGAUUUUGGAGGAAGAAUUAGCUAAAAGAUCAUUACAGCAUUAUUUUAUUCUACUCAACCUGCAAUAUCUGAACAAUAUUGACUAUUGUCUUGUGAAAUUAAGAGAAAGUGUUGUAGAAAGAAAAAUAUGGAAGAUAUCCCCAUGACCAGCAGAAUGUUUGUUGCUUAGGCAUUUUUAGGGGAGAUGAUGCUGUGGGAAACCUAGGGGAGACUAUGCAUAGCUUUGGGUUUGGAGGCACAGGGAAAUUCUCUAGUGCUGGAAUAUUAUCAGGUUAUUGUGAGAAGUUUGGGGUUGAAGAUACAAUCAUGUGCUGUGUUGAUCUUGAAAGUAAACCGUUGGCUUUUGUAUAGGACUCUCCCAAAACUGAAAAUGGUUGGGAUUUGCAAAGGGCUUUGAUGCUGGCCCAGCGAGUCUUCAACAGGUGGAUUCUCCGGUGAAAGAGCUUCAAUGUGAGUCAGCUCUAUUUCCUCGUGUUCUAUCGUGGUUUAGUUGCAGUUCAGUGCUGAAGAUGGCCUCCUUCCUACUUAUUGAAGAAGGCUGCAAGUCCUGGUUCAGAUGAACUUUAUGAUCAGGUCAUUUUUGUUGAACUCGGUUGAAGGGAUCAGUCAGAGAUACAUUUGGAGAAAAUGAAGCGUGCUUUAAAGACUGAAUCUCUGCCUUGUUCUCGGCAGCCUUUGAUGGAGUUAUAUGCUAGCCCGCCUCUGGAAAAUCAAGGAGCUUUACCCGGUUAUUGUAUUAUCUUUUUCAAUCCAUUUAUUCUCAUGCCAUAUAUAUAAGGUCCUGAUGGUUUUUCCAUUUGAUUUAGUUGGUAGCAGAUCCAGGAAAAUUUCUCAUCCACCUCCUCUGCCAUUGAAUUAUAGCAACCAAAAUGCCAACCCGCCACUCCUCCACCAUUGAAUUAUGGCUACCAAAGCACCAACCCACCUCCUCUGCCAUUGAAUUUCGGCUACCAAAGUACCAACUAUCUUCCUCAAUCAUUAAAUGAUGGAUCUGUUUCUAGUUUGCCUCUGUAAGGAAGCUUUAGCACUGCUAACUUCUUAAGGGACGAAGAUUUUGUCUUGUCCAUUCAUUGAUUGACUGCUACCAGAGUAUAUACAUUGAUAAGUAGUGGCUAAUGUGUUAACAACACACACAAUAUAUCAGGGAUUUGGAUCUUCUUAGGGGGCAUAUCAAAGCUAUCAAGCUCCUACACCUAGAGCUUCUGUUCCUCGGAGCACUAAUGAAAGUUCUGUACCAAGAAAUAACAUUGGUUCCUCUGGGAGCUAUGGUGUCAUUUCUGGUGGUAGAGCUGACUCUUUCCAGAACUAUGGAUUUGUUGAUCCAUAUGGCAGAGCAAACUCUGAUGGUGAGAAUACUGCCGUUGGUGGUGCUGCUACUUCCGACCCCUACUGGAGCAAUAUGGAAGAACCCUCCCAUAAGGGAGCCAAAAGGACUUCUUCAUUUACAUACAGUAAUAUUGGAUGUCACCCUACCAGCCUGCAGGCUCCAAGUUUAUCGACAUAUUUUCCCAGUCCUUCUCUUCAUACGGUUUUCUUCAUCGAUCUCCUCGCUUUCCAUUAUCUGCAAUAUCUCCGACUCCAUCACCAAGGCCCCCAUAUGCAAAUCUUGCUGCUGGCAUGCAGCAUUCUGUAAGAUACAACCCUAGCUCCUCCUCCGAGAUAUUACUGAUCACCGUAUAGGCUUGCCGUCAUUUCUCAAGACUUUGGAGAUCACACUUCCACACUUAAGACUAGAAAUCGAGAAGGCCAAGUUCCGGUCCAUGUUAAACUGCAGAAAUUUUGUAUACAUGGAAUUAAUGAGUACCGUUCAAAGGCCCCCUUCAAAAAUUUUGUAAAUACUACUGCUAACUAUAAGAUUUUGUUAACUUCAUGUGAGACUAUGAUUGGGAUCAAAGUUCUGUGAAACAUCCAUGUAAAAUCUUUCACUUGACUAGAUGUAGUUAUAUAAGAGUUUAGGUCUUAAUUAGUGAGUUGGCUGCUAGCUGCAAGUUUUCGAAGAACUGCGUGUAAUAUCUAACAGAGAAAUUACGAAACCACAGAACUAGAAGGAAAGGUUGAGGUCCCAUAUGUUUUGCACCUGAUCUCCAGACCAUGUGAUAAGCAUCUCUAAAGCUGCAUAUUCCUUGUCGCCAAUCCAUGCUUUGAACCCCACCAUAAACCCUCGAUGUUCUUUCAAGUUCCAAUCAUUUCUUUCCAUUAUUUUCUUAGAAGUCAAGUUAGGGUUUUAAGUGGACCAAAUGCCACCUACAAGUAUGACAGUAGAGAGAGAGAGAGAGAGAGAGAGAGAUUUCUAUUCGUUUCAGUAUCAGACCAAACCAGGAGGCUUGCAGAACCUAAAAGCUUCGCAUUUUGCUUCUUUUUUCUUUUCUAGUUUACUCUUUCUUCGAGUAGCUUUUCAUUGAUCAAUAAAAUGCUUUUCUUGAUGGGGACAUCUUACCUUUAAUGGAGA